AUCUGUAGCUAUGGUCGGACUACAACUCCCAUCACCCCUGAGCUGCUAGCUAGGGAUGUUGGGAGUUGUAGUCCAACCAUAGCUUCAGAG